CAGAACGAACGCUGGCGGCGCGUCUUAAGCAUGCAAGUCGAACGGCAAGAGGUAGCAAUACCUCCUAGAGUGGCGGACUGGUGAGUAACACGUGGGUGACAUACCCUUCAGAUGGGGAUAGCUAUUAGAAAUAGUAGAUAAUACCGAAUACGAGCACAGGGGUUAGAGAUCUGUGAGGAAAGGAGCUAAGGCUCCGCUGAAGGAAUGGCCUGCGGCCCAUUAGCUAGUUGGUGAGGUAAGAGCCCACCAAGGCGAUGAUGGGUAUCCGGCCUUAGAGGGUGAACGGACACAUUGGGACUGAGAUACGGCCCAGACUCCUACGGGAGGCAGCAGCUAAGAAUAUUCCGCAAUGGACGAAAGUCUGACGGAGCGACGCCGCCGUGGAUGAAGAAGGCCGGAAGGUUGUAAAAUCCUUUUGAAACUGAAGAAUAAGCGUUGUAGGGAAUGACAGCGUGGUGACAGUAGGUUUUGAAUAAGCAACGGCUAAUUACGUGCCAGCCGCGGC
rnacentral:rRNA from 1 species